GACGAACGCUGGCGGCGUGCUUAACACAUGCAAGUCGAACGGUAAGGCCCUGCUUUUGUGGGGUGUUCGUGUGGCGCGAGGGUGUGAAACACGCGUAGAACACCCCCUUGGCUGUGGGAUAACUUCAGGAAAAUGGGUAUAAUAUAGGACAGGACCAUGUGCUGCACGGUGGGGGUUGGAGAGUUUUGCUGGUUGGGGAUGGACGCACGGCCUAUCAGCUUGUUGGUGGGGUAGUGGCUUACCAAGGCUACGACGGGUAGCCGGCCUGCGAGGGUGACCGGCCACAUUGGGCCUGGGGUAGGGCCCGGAGUCCAACGGGGGCAAGCGGUGGGAAAUUUUGCGCAAUGGGCGGAGGCCGGAUGCAGCAACGCCGGGUGGGGAAUGACGGCCUUCGGUUUGGAAACCGCUUUCGCCUGGAACGAAGCGUGAGUGACGGUAACUGAUAAAGAAGCGCCGGCUAACUACGUG
rnacentral:rRNA from 1 species